rnacentral:snoRNA from 1 species
ACCCUCUAGUUUCCUCACCCAUCAGAUGCAAACACUGGUCAGACUGAUUACAGAAAGAGGAAAAGGGAAAUUGAAAUUGACUUCGGUGCUUUUAUGGCAAAUGAGCUCGCUUCAAACAAGC